UGGGGAAUCUUGGACAAUGGGCGAAAGCCUGAUCCAGCCAUGCCGCGUGAGUGAUGAAGGCCUUAGGGUUGUAAAGCUCUUUCGACGGGGACGAUAAUGACGGUACCCGUAGAAGAAGCCCCGGCUAACUUCGUGCCAGCAGCCGCGGUAAUACGAAGGGGGCUAGCGUUGUUCGGAAUUACUGGGCGUAAAGCGCACGUAGGCGGACAUUUAAGUUGGAGGUGAAAGCCUUGGGCUCAACCCAAGAAUUGCCUUUGAUACUGGAUGUCUCGAGACCGGGAGAGGUGAGUGGAAUUCCGAGUGUAGAGGUGAAAUUCGUAGAUAUUCGGAAGAACACCAGUGGCGAAGGCGGCUCACUGGCCCGGUUCUGACGCUGAGGUGCGAAAGCGUGGGGAGCAAACAGGAUUAGAUACCCCCGUAGUCC
rnacentral:rRNA from 1 species